UACGGAGGAUGCAAGCGUUAUCCGGAAUGAUUGGGCGUAAAGCGUCCGCAGGUGGCACUUCAAGUCUGCUGUUAAAUACUAGGGCUCAACCCUGGAGCGGCAGUGGAAACUGAAGAGCUAGAGUUCGGUAGGGGUAGAGGGAAUUCCCGGUGUAGCGGUGAAAUGCGUAGAGAUCGGGAAGAACACCGGUGGCGAAAGCGCUCUGCUAGGCCCAAACUGACACUAAGGGACGAAAGCUAGGGGAGCGAAUGGG
rnacentral:rRNA from 1 species